ACACACCCCAGGAAGCUUUCUUCCUUGAUAGGCAAACCUGGGUCAAAAAAUGUAGUCAUAGCCUUCUGAGAAGUAAAGGGAGAAAAGGUAGGAUGAUGGGGACUUUGAAGAAGGAAAUAGGGAAGCUUACACUGUUCUUUCUUCAAAAGUUUGCAAAACUUUGAUGAUGGUUACCAGGCAUUUUAAAGUGUGGAAACCCUUAACUUAGUAAUUCUAUUCCUAAGCUAUAGCCAAAAACAAAAAUUUAUACACAAAGGUACUACUAUUUGAACCACAAACAUAGGAAACAAUCUAAAUUACUAGCAAUAAGGAAAUUUUUAGGUAAAUUAUGAUCUAACCACAGGUGAAAUAGUCACUAAAACAAUGGCUGCUCUUGGGAAAUGCUUGUUCAGUAUGAUCUCAACUAUAUGCAAAACAUACAUAGGAAUGAAGUUAGUUAAUAUUAGGUCUCUUUGAGUUAGUUAAUAUUAGAUCUUUCUGGAAAGCCAGGAAAGAUCCUAUAAAGAUAGAGAUUAUGGUUUUUUUUCUUUACAUCCAAACUUCUCUGUGCUGUAUGAUUCAUUUUACAAUUUGAAAAUCAAAAAGAAAUGAUAAAAUGUGUGCUAAGGGCUAGUAGCUUUUUGGAGGAGCAUAUAUUUGAUUCAAUCCUUUAGGUUAAGUAUUGUUCCUUCUUACCAACCACCUUCUUAUCACAACAGAGGAAAGCAGAUGGAGUAUCCAGUAGGGAAAAGAAUAAACUUUUGGGAGGCCUGGGGUGAGGAAUUCUCAUCAUCCCCAGGCAGAUGUCCUGGUCAUCUCUAAUGUCCCAUUUAAUUGGCUUCCAACAUUAUUGUUCAAAUUUCUACUUUUCCUUUGUGGGUGCUGGGACUCUUGAAUGUCUUGCCUUUCUACUUUCUAGUUCAACUCCUGUGUUGAUUUUCUUGCUGUGCUAAGUGAGCUACAGGCUCUUUAAAGACUCUUGUGCAGAAAUUAUUGUGCUUGCUCCUUUAAGAACUUGAUAUCAAAGGCAGCCGUGGGUACCAUUUUCCAGAGGUUAAAGAAAAGGGCAUUUUGGUAACAGAGUUAUUUUGUUAAUACAAAUUCAACACAUGCAUCAUACAUGAUUGUACAAGAAUUAAAAGUCUGUAAAUAAGCUUACUUCAUGGUUAUUAUUGCAAGCAUCAGGGAUCCUGACCAGGACUGAAUGCUUAGAAAAUGAAACAGCUCCCUGUUGACCCCAUGGCAUGUUCUAAUGGUUGUUAAAAUACAUUCCAGAUAUCGGUUUGUUUACUUUUCCUAUGGCUCUUUCUUAUAAAAUGAAAAUUAAAAAGUCACAGGAGAUGGCUCUAGUUUAUGAAUCUGAGAAAUGUCAGAUUCUCAAUGGUCUCUAUGUCAAGUUCUCAACAACCCAAUGGUCAUGUUUGACCACAUCUUUCAAAUUGUAUGCUCAACAGAUCAGCCUCCUAUAAACUGCCUUUGUACUACUGACCACAGUCUGACCCAAUCCUUAAAAACCAGCUGUCUCAACCUAUCUGGAACUUACAUCAAGUGCCUUUUUUUGCCCCAGUAGUACCACAGAAAGAGAGGAACAAGGACAAAAGUGAUGGGGGUCUUCUGAUUUCUCAAGAGCAUUAAUCUUUGGUCCCACAGAUUCCUCCAAAUAAACAAUGGAAUCCAUCAAACUGACAAGCCCCAAUCCAUGAUGGGGGUAAUCUACACAGCCUCGUGAACUCACCUGGACAAGCUCCAUCAUGUCUUUGACAAACCCAUCCACUUCUGGGCCUUCUAGAGCUCCAGUUUUACUCUGAAAGGCAAAGAUCCAAUCAACCAAAUAUUUUCUUAAGUCAGAAAACUUGGAGUUCCCG